rnacentral:lncRNA from 10 species
CACACCGCCCACCAAGGCCGCGGGCCCUGCGCGCCCGGGGCAGGCGGGCACAUCCCGCACCCUCUCCGCCCGCCCGCCCCCGGCGCCCUUCGCAUUCCCUUCUUCGGCCCUGGCCCCUCGGACCGGAGCGCCCAGGCCAGCUCAGGGUGUUCCCGUGGGGGUCUCCGGAAACAAUGUAGAGACGGGGUUUCACCGUGUUAGCCAGAACGGUCUUGAUCUCCUGACCUCAUGAUCUGCCCGCCUCGGUCUCCCAAAGUGCUGGGAUUACAGGUAGAGGACCUUUGGAGAUGUGAAUGAAAACAGCUGUCUGAACAAGUGGUACCCUAACUAGCGCGGCUGUGAGUCUGAAGCUUGAAAUGGGGAAGUUGGUCAGCAUGGGUGAGCUAUGCAGCCCAGGUGAAGGGAUCCUCAAGCAGCAGCCUCUGCCUUUUUGUCUUCUCCUUUUCACGGAGAUGACAAGAAUCACCCCAGGACUUAUCUUCUGAGGUGCUCAGCUGUGGUCCCAGUGCUGCUUUGGUCACUGCUAUGGCGGGUGGAAGCAGGAUGGGUGAAGUCAU